GAGAGGCGGUGGAAUGACACGAUCACUCCCGCUGAGCGGCCCGCACACGCCGUCGGGAAUGUCGUGUCCGCCCGGCGCUCUUU
rnacentral:pre_miRNA from 1 species